rnacentral:rRNA from 1 species
GAUGAACGCUGGCGGCGUGCCUAAUACAUGCAAGUCGAACGGACAGACGAGGAGCUUGCUCCUCUGACGUUAGCGGCGGACGGGUGAGUAACACGUGGAUCACCUACCUAUAAGACUGGGAUAACUUCGGAAAACCGGCUCUAAUACCGUAGAAUAUAUUGAACCGCGUGGGUCAAUAGUGAAAUUCGGUUUUGCUGGCAGUUGUAGAUGGAUUCGCGCCUUAUCAGCUUGUUGGUAAGGUAACGGCUUACCAAGGCAUCGGCGGGUAGCCGGCCUGAGAGGGUGACCGGCCACAUUGGGACUGAGAUACGGCCCAGACUCCUACGGGAGGCAGCAGUGGGGAAUAUUGCACAAUGGGCGGAAGCCUGAUGCAGCAACGCCGCGUGCGGGAUGACGGCCUUCGGGUUGUAAACCGCUUUCGCCUGUGACGAAGCGUGAGUGACGGUAAUGGGUAAAGAAGCACCGGCUAACUACGUG